rnacentral:rRNA from 1 species
CAGUCGCCGCGGGAAUACGUAGGGGGCGAGCGUUGUCCGAAGUUACUGGGCGUAUAGAGCGCGUAGGCGGGUCUUUAAGUGAGGGGUGAAAGUCCGGGGCUCAACCCCGGAACUGCCUUUCAUACUGGAGACCUUGAGUGUGGGAGAGGCGAGUGGAAUGGUCGGUGUAGCGGUGAAAUGCGUUGAGAUCGGAAAGAACACCAACGGCGAAAGCACUCUGCUGGGCCGACACUGACACGGAGAGACGAAAGCUAGGGGAGCAAAUGGGAUUAGAUACCCCGGUAGUCCCUGUCUCUUAUAC